rnacentral:lncRNA from 1 species
CCCAAACUCUAUCCGUCGAUCUCGUCAGCCCUCGUCCACCUUCGAUUUGUCGACGCCGCUGUAGGAAUCUCCUUCUACUUCCUCUUAUUCAUUGUUGCUCUCCUUCACCGCUGUCACUGCCAACGAAUCUGACAUCGUUGCUCUAUCACAAUGGGAGAUCGAGGAGCAGGAGGAGAAGAAGAAGCCGGAGACGAAAAUCUCCGUCAGACGACCGACCCACCAGCGGCUCGCGAAGAGGAGUUACGUAGUCAGACUAAGAGGCGCCAUAGAAGGAGGGGAGUUGCUGAACGACAUCAG